rnacentral:rRNA from 14 species
CGAAGGCGACUCACUGGGCCAUUACUGACGCUGAGGUGCGAAAGCGUGGGUAGCAAACAGGAUUAGAUACCCUGGUAGUCCACGCCCUAAACGAUGUCAACUAGUUGUUGGGGAUUUACUUCCUUGGUAACGUAGCUAACGCGUGAAGUUGACCGCCUGGGGAGUACGGCCGCAAGGUUAAAACUCAAAGGAAUUGACGGGGA